rnacentral:rRNA from 1 species
UACGGGGGGAGCGAACGUUGUUCGGAAUCACUGGGCGUAAAGGGCGUGUAGGCGGCUGAAUAAGUGGGAUGUUAAAUCCCCCGGCUCAACCGGGGACCUGCAUCUCAUACUGUUCAGCUCGAGCACAUCAGAGGAGACUGGAAUUCCCGGUGUAGCAGUGAAAUGCGUAGAUAUCAGGAGGAACACCGAUGGCGAAGGCAGGUCUCUGGGCUGACACUGACGCUCAUGCACGAAAGCGUGGGGAGCAAACAGG